rnacentral:rRNA from 1 species
UGGGGAAUAUUGCACAAUGGGGGAAACCCUGAUGCAGCGACGCCGCGUGAGCGAUGAAGUAUUUCGGUAUGUAAAGCUCUAUCAGCAGGGAAGAUAAUGACGGUACCUGACUAAGAAGCUCCGGCUAAAUACGUGCCAGCAGCCGCGGUAAUACGUAUGGAGCAAGCGUUAUCCGGAUUUACUGGGUGUAAAGGGAGCGUAGGCGGUCCUGCAAGUCUGAUGUGAAAACCCGGGGCUCAACCCCGGGACUGCAUUGGAAACUGUAGGACUAGAGUGUCGGAGGGGUAAGUUGAAUUCCUAGUGUAGCGGUGAAAUGCGUAGAUAUUAGGAGGAACACCAGUGGCGAAGGCGGCUUACUGGACGACCACUGACGCUGAGGCUCGAAAGCGUGGGGAGCAAACAGG